AAUUUCUAAACCGCUUUUAAAUCUUCGAUAUCAAUUUCUAAACCGCAGCGGGCUGGGAGAGAGGGGUUGCUUACUAUCCUGACUAGAGUUAUGGAGGAGACUCCUUCAGAUCGAUUCGCACAGGAGUUCAUUCUAGUUCUUUUAUGUAUCAUAGUCUUUGCAACGUGCAUUGUUGAAGGCCUAUUUGAAUUCUUUAAUAUCAGCAGUGUACGAAGCUACAGAAAUGGAAUUUUGGGAUCAAUAUUUUGAAGAGACGCAAUGUUUGGAGGCUGAGUGAGAUCAAAUGCGGUGUCGGCGUUGUCUUCGAUGGUGCUAAACAGCGAUACACAAGAAGAUGCGAAAAGUGGGGUGGAAAAGUUUCAGGUCAAGAUAUUGGGAGAUAGUAGUGCUCAGAUCACGGAGGAUGUCCUAUCUAGUUCAAAUGUUGGGAUAACCGAUUCCAAGUUAUCUGGCUCUGCAUCAAGUGCUAGUUUGACGAAUGGGCAUGCAGCUCCUAUGUAUUCAGCUGGUAUCAGAAAUGGCAAUGAAACUUGGUUCGAAGUUGGACGAUCCAAGACUUAUACCCCAACUGCUGAUGACAUUGGUCACGUCCUUAAGUUUGAAUAUUCUGUAGUUGAUGCAGUGACAAAAUCACCUGUGGGACAAGCUAGCACUUUACAAACUAAUAGGGUCAUUCCUGCUCCUUCACCAAUUCCUCGCCGAAUUAUACGUGUUGAUGGGAUGGGGCAUUUAGACCUAGAUAGGCGCAUGACAUCUUCAGGAACUUUUACUGCUCUGUCAUACAAUGUCUUGUCUGAGACAUGUGCCUCAAAUGAUCUCUAUAGCUACUGCCCUCCGUGGGCACUUUCUUGGCCAUAUCGCAGGCAAAAUUUGUUACGGGAAAUUGUUGAUUAUGCUGCAGACAUAAUUUGCCUUCAGGAGGUUCAAAAUGACCAUUAUGAGGAAUUUUUUGCUCCUGAAUUGGACAAACAUGGCUAUCACAGUCUUUUCAAGAGAAAAACAACCGAGGUAUCCAGUGGCACCACAAUUGAUGGUUGUGCGACAUUUUUUCGCAGAGACAAAUUUUCCCAUGUGAAGAAAUAUGAGGUUGAGUUCAAUAAGGCUGCACAGUCUUUAACCGAGGCCAUGAUUCCAACCGCUCAGAAGAAAGCUGCCUUGAAUCGGCUAGUCAAGGAUAAUGUUGCACUAAUAGUGGUUCUAGAAACAAAAGUUAACAAUCAACUAGUUGAUAAUCUUGGGAAAAGACAACUUCUUUGUGUGGCAAAUACACAUGUUCAUGUUCAGCAAGAUUUAAAAGAUGUCAAACUCUGGCAGGUGCAUACUCUCUUAAAGGGGUUGGAAAAAAUAGCUACAAGUGCGGACACUCCAAUGUUGGUUUGUGGAGACUUCAAUUCUGUUCCAGGAAGUGCUCCUCAUGCACUUCUUGCAAUGGGGAAGGUAGACCCGUCACAUCCUGAUUUAACAGUUGAUCCGCUUAAUAUUUUACGCCCUCAUAGCAAGUUGGUUCACCAAUUGCCACUGGUCAGCGCAUACUCGUCUUUUGCAAGAACAGCAGGUCUUGCAUUCGAGCAGCAUAAAAGGAGACUGGAUGGCGGAACAAACGAACCUUUGUUCACAAGCGUUACUGGAGAUUUUGUAGGCACUCUAGACUACAUAUUUUACACAGCGGAUUCAUUAGUUGUGGAGUCAUUAUUGGAGUUAUUGGAUGAAGAGAGUUUGAGGAAGGACACUGCACUUCCUUCACCUGGAUGGUCCUCGGAUCAUAUAGCACUCCUAGCCGAGUUCCGCUGCUGCAAAAAUAAGUCUAAGUCUAGGCAUUGAUACUUUAAGUUCAGAUCCAGUCCAGAGACACAUAAAGAAAAAGGCUGAAAGAAGCAUUUGGCCAGAAGUUAUUGUAAGAAUGGUGGAUCGUGCAUGUAUUUUCCAGGUAACCAGACCUACAUGGAUAUAACUCUAUCGGUAAGGGAUGUUCUUAGUCCUUCUGGAGAUUGGAACAUUGAUUUUCUCAUAAAUAACUUGCCAGCUGACACUGUUAAUCAAAUUCUUGCGCUUCCAAUCCCUAAUGAUGAUGAUGGUCCAGACUCUAUUGGGUGGGGUGGAACCAAUACCCACCAUUUCACAGUUCAAAGUGCUUAUUCUUUGCAACAUCAGGAUUGCCCGAUUUUGGAAGGUGACUGGAAAAGUAUUUGGAAGUGGCAUGACCCACAUCGCAUCCAAACCUUUAUUUGGUUGGCUACGCACGAGCGUAUUCUUACAAAUUUCAAAAGGAGUAAAUGGGGUGGUGGAAUCUCUCCUACUUGUCCGUGUUGUGGAAAUGAAGAUGAAAUUGUUCUUCAUGUGCUUCGCGAUUGCAUCCACGCUACCCAAGUAUGGCUUUACAUCGUUCCAUAUGAUUUUAUAACUAAUUUCUUUUCUUUCGAUUGCAGGGAUUGGUUCUUCAAUAACCUCAUCAAGAAAGACAUUGGGACGAACAGUUUAAGUUGGAAGACAACUUUCAUGACGACAUGUUGGUACUUGUGGAAGUGGAGGAAUGAAAUUAUUUUUGAAGCUGAUUUUAUUAGGCCGAACAACCCAAUUUCUUUAAUUUGAAGAUUUGUCCAAAAUAUUGAAGAUUGUAACCUGAAGCAUGUUCAUAUUGGUCGAAAGUUGAAGGAAAUCAUCUAUAUAGGUUGGAAGCGGCCUCGAGGUCAAAAGAAUCCUUUUUGUUCAAUUAGCUUCUUAAUUCUGUUUUCUUUUUGGCUUUGCCCUCUCUUGUACCAAAAAAAAACACGUAGAACAUAUCUUAACACCAUCAGCAUCACCUAUUCAAUUUGUGACAUCAUCAACCCAAUUCUACAAAAUUCCCCUGAAGUGUUAGUCUCGUGAAUUGCAACAAUUUUUUUCAUUCUUUAUUAAUGGAAAAAUUCGUUGUUGUUUCUACGACCGAAUUUUGUGGUUAUUGCCGUAAGCAUGGGCAU